rnacentral:sRNA from 1 species
AAGUGAUGCACUCAAUUCUGCAAUAGAUAAAAUGACCAAGAAGACCAGGGACUUGCGUAGACAGCUCCGCAAAGCUGUCAUGGACCACGUUUCAGAUUCUUUCCUGGAAACCAAUGUUCCACUUUUGGUAUUGAUUGAAGCUGCAAAGAAUGGAAAUGAGAAAGAAGUUAAGGAGUAUGCCCAAGUUUUCCGUGAACAUGCCAACAAAUUGAUUGAGGUUGCCAACUUGGCCUGUUCCAUCUCAAAUAAUGAAGAAGGUGUAAAGCUUGUUCGAAUGUCUGCAAGCCAGUUAGAAGCCCUCUGUCCUCAGGUAAAGUACAACUGACACUGGUGACAGCAUAACCAAAUUAAAUUUUGAUUCAAGUGGAGAUGAGGUUUAUUUUGUUAAGUUUUGUUUUGUUUUUAGGAUUUUAGAUGGAAGUCUUGGGGACAGAUCACUGACACAGAACCCACAUAGUUUGGAAUAUUUUUUGUUUAACAUUAAGUGACAUUUGCACGGGAGAUUACAUGUUACUCCUGGCCCUUCAUUGAAAAUGCACAGUGGGCUGGGCACGGUGGCUCACGCCUGUAAUCGCAGCACUUUGAGAUCCCAAAGUGGAUGGGUCAGUUGAGCCCAGGAAUCUGAGACCAGCCUGGGCAACAUAGCAAAACACCAUCUCUU